CUACGGGAUGCAGCAGUAAGGAAUAUUGGUCAAUGGACGCAAGUCUGAACCAGCCAUGCCGCGUGCAGGAUGACAGCCCUAUGGGUUGUAAACUGCUUUUAUCAGGGAAUAAAUCCCCGAUCGUGAUCGGGGUUGAAGGUACCUGAAGAAUAAGGACCGGCUAACUCCGUGCCAGCAGCCGCGGUAAUACGGAGGGUCCGAGCGUUAUCCGGAUUUAUUGGGUUUAAAGGGUGCGCAGGCGGAAUAAUAAGUCAGUGGUGAAAUCUCCCGGCUCAACCGGGAAACUGCCAUUGAUACUGUUAUUCUUGAGUAUAGUUGUAGUAGGCGGAAUAUAGCAUGUAGCGGUGAAAUGCUUAGAUAUGCUAUAGAACACCGAUCGCGAAGGCAGCUCACUAAACUAUAACUGACGCUCAGGCACGAAAGCGUGGGGAGCAAACAGGAUUAGAUACCCCCGUAGUC
rnacentral:rRNA from 1 species